GGCGCAGGCGGAAUGGUAAGCGUUUUGUGAAAUCCCCCGGCUUAACCGGGGAAUUGCUUGACGUACUGCCGUUCUUGAGGCAAGCAGGGGUACAUGGAACUCUCGGUGGAGCGGUAGAAUGCGUAGAUAUCGAGAAGAACGCCAGUGGUGAAGACGGUGUACUGGGCUUGUUCUGACGCUGAGGCCCGAAAGCGUGGGUAGCAAACAGGAUUAGAUACCCUGGUAGUCCACGCCGUAAACGAUGUCUACUAGGUUGCGGAAGUUCUGACACUCUCGCGGCCGAAGCAAAAGUGUUAAGUAGACCGCCUGGGGAGUACGGCCGCAAGGCUAAA
rnacentral:rRNA from 1 species